rnacentral:piRNA from 5 species
CACUACUGCACUUGACUAGUCUUU